AUGCAGAAGCUCCUGGGCCAGGGAUCAAACCUGAGCCACAGCAAUGAAAAUGUCAGAUCUUUAACCCACUGAGCCACCAGGAAACUCCCCACUUAAUCUUUCACAAUAGAAUAUAAAAUGUUGGUGAGGAAAUUAGAGAAUUAGAUGAGUGGCCCUUUCCCCCUGUCUUUGGAGAGCAGCUUCAAGGCGGGACAAAGGAAGUGACUGUACUUUUUUUUUUUUUUUUUUUUUAAGGGCCACACCAGAGGCAUAUGGAAGUUCCUUGCUAGGGGUUGCAUUGGAGCUGGAGCUGCCGGCCUACACCACAGCCACAGCAAUGCCAGGUGCAAGCUGCUUCUGCAACCUAUACCACAGGUCACAGCAACGCCGAUCCUUAACCCACUGAGGGAGGCCAGGGUUUGAACCUGCAUCCUCAUGGCUACUAGUUGAGUCCAUUACCACUGAGCCACAACAGGAACUCCCAGAAGUGAUGAGAUCUUAAAGGCUGAGUCUCUUUCCUGGGUCUAUAGGGAUAAAGAGAAGGAUUAGAGAGGUGACCAGAAAGAAAAGUUAAACCAUUCCUUGAAACCUGAUGUGACAUAAGAAAUAAAACUGAAAAAACUUUAAAAGUCAAGGAGAAUGGCUAGGGAAUCCUUUAGUGAGAUACUUUAGAGCAUAGAGGACUGGAGUGAAGUGAGAAAAUUUUUGCAAAAUAUAUGCAUGCAAUUGGAGUUCCUUGACACUUAUGGCCCCAGGGAGAUUGCAGCACAAUUAAGGCCUGCUUGAUUUUCAGCAAUAAAGUCAGCUCUCUUUUUUUUUUCACAAAAAGAAAAGACUUUGUGGGGAUAGUAAUUGCUGGAAUGAAAAAUUCCAACUUGACAUCUGUUCCAGAUUCACCUGCAGCUGUUGCUUACCUGUGUAGAGGCAGCUGGUGACCUGGCAAAAUGCAAGAUGUAGGAGAAAAGGAGCUAGGAAAAACUGACUCCUUCCUUGCUACCAUCCUCUCACCACAGACUGAGUUUUACAAAGGCCACACAAUCAUUCUCUCUACAACAAUACCCUCAAUUUUGGCUGCAUGUUGCAAUCACUACAAUUGCCUGGGAGCUUUAAAAAUCAUGACAUCCUGGGGUUCCCUCAUUACACAAUAGGUUAAGGAUCUGUCGUUGUCAUUGCAGCAGCUCAGGUUGCUGCUGUGGCAUGGUUUUGAUCCCUGGCCCUGGGAACUUCCACGUGCUGCAGCCUAAAAUUAAUUAAUUAAUUAAUAAUCUCUAAGAGUGAGAACCAAGAAUUAAUAGUUGGUAAAGCUCCCACAGUGAUUGCAAUGUUAGUUAAGACUGGGAACCAUUGCCUAGAACCUGCUUUAUUGCUGGUAGAAGUUAGAAAGAAUGGAAAACAAAGAUAAAAAAACAGAAGCAUCUGAGAAAAGAUAUGGGGGGGGGGCAGAACAGAAAGAAGGGGUUGCAUUUGUAAAGAUUUUAGCAUCAUGUAGAAGAUACAUAUUCUUGGAAGAACACUGGAAUAACCAUUUGGGGAAAAUAGAGGGAAAAAAGGUCUCACAAUUGGAGGAAACCAAGAUGUGUUUCAAGUUUGGAUGGAAACAGUCUUUGGGAUGUAUGAAUCCAGCCUCUAGGCUCAUAGCUAUAGCAAGGGGUACUCAGUGAGCACAUUUCUUUGGAAAGAAUUUCAUAUUAUCAAUUUAACAUCUUCAUGAAUUAUACCCAUGUUUCCAGUUCUGCCCUUUAAAAAAAUUCAGGGUAAUUCUAAAUCUCUUCUAUCCAAUUGCCCCUUGAACAAAAGACAGCUAUCUCCCACCCACACUCACAUACUCCAUGAUAUUAAAACAUCAACUUUUUAAAAAGCCCUUCAUAUCCAUUGUUACUUGGUCCCCACCACGCCCCUGCAAACUUAGCAUUACUUUAUCUUUUCCACUUUGCAGGUCAUAUAUGUGAUGUUCAGAGAAGUUAAUACGUGACCAAAAUCAAGUAAAUGAGUGUCAGAGUCAUGACUUGAACCCAGGCCUUCUGACUCUAAAUGUGUGCCCUCUCCACCCUAUUUGUUAUGGACUCUGGCCUUUGAUUGGUGUAUCUAAGAUGACUUUAGGGGUUCUUUCCUUUAUUUAAGAAGUUAUUUUAUUUUUUUUCUUUUUAGAGCCACAUCUGCAGCAUAUGGAAGUUCCUGGGCCAGGGGUUAAAUCAGGGCUGCAGCUGUGCAGCUGCAGCAACACCACAGCCACAGCAGAUCCAAGUCACAUCUGCAACCUAGGCUGAAGCUCAUGGCAACGCUAGAUCCUUAAGACACUGAGCGAGGCCAGGGAUCAAAUUGAAUCCUCAUGGAGACUGUGUCGGCUUCUUAACCCACUGAGCCAAAACAGGAAUUACCUUUUUUUUUAAUUAAAAAAAAUUUUUUUUAAGGUUUUUUUCCCCUGGUAACCACCCUUUUACUUUCUGUCUCUGUGAAUUGAAUGCUUCUAGGUACCUCAUAUAAAAGGAGUCUUACUGUAUUUGUUCUUUGGUUUCUGGCUUGCUUCACCUGGCAUGAUGUGAGAUUCAUCGAUGUUGUAGCAAGUGUCAGAAUUUGCUUCCUUUUUAGGACCAAAUAGCAUUCCACUGUGUGUAUACAUUACACUUUGUUUGUCCAUUCAUCUGUCAAUGGGCAUUUGGAUCGCUUCUGCCUUUGGCUAUUGAGAAUAAUGCUGCCAUGAACAUAGUGUGUAUAUACACAAGUGUCUCUGAGAUCUUGCUUUCAGUUCUUUGGAGAUCUGUCCAAUGGAAUUGCUGGGACAUAUGGUAAUCUUAUUUUUAGCUUUUUCAAGGAACAGUACUGUUUCCAUUAGCUUUUUUUUUUUUUUUUUUUGGCUGCACCCACAGCAUGGAGAAGUUCCCCAGUCAGGGACUGAACCCCAGCCACAGUGACCUGAGCUGCUGCAAGGAUCC
rnacentral:lncRNA from 1 species